rnacentral:rRNA from 1 species
GACGAACGCUGGCGGCAGGCCUAACACAUGCAAGUCGAGCGGAUGAAGAGAGCUUGCUCUCUGACUCAGCGGCGGACGGGUGAGUAAUGCCUAGGAAUCUGCCUGAUAGUGGGGGACAACGUUUCGAAAGGAACGCUAAUACCGCAUACGUCCUACGGGAGAAAGCAGGGGACCUUCGGGCCUUGCGCUAUCAGAUGAGCCUAGGUCGGAUUAGCUAGUUGGUGAGGUAAUGGCUCACCAAGGCGACGAUCCGUAACUGGUCUGAGAGGAUGGUCAGUCACACUGGAACUGAGACACGGUCCAGACUCCUACGGGAGGCAGCAGUGGGGAAUAUUGGACAAUGGGCGAAAGCCUGAUCCAGCCAUGCCGCGUGUGUGAAGAAGGUCUUCGGAUUGUAAAGCACUUUAAGUUGGGAGGAAGGGCGAUUAUCCUAAUACGUUAGUGUUUUGACGUUACCGACAGAAUAAGCACCGGCUAACUUCGUGCC